CCCCCCCCCCCCCCCCCCCCCCCCCCCCCCCCCCCCCCCCCCCCCCCCCCCCCACGGCUGGGACGUGCUAGCACGGGGCAGCUCCCUCAGGUGAGUGAGGCCUGGCCCCGUGCCCUCGUUUGCCCUCGCUGUUCUCAGCUCUGGGAGGGAGGGGGCGAGCGAGGCCUGUCAGCCCUUAUAAAUAAGAGGGAGGGAACGGCCUGAAGUUGUGUCAGGGGAGGUUUAGGUUGGAUUUUAGAAGGCUUUUCACCCAGAAGGUGUUCGAGCACUGGAAUAGGUUCCCCGGGGAAGUGGUCCGGCCCCAAGAGUGCCACUUCACACACCUUUUGGACAGCGCUCUCACACACACGGUGGGAUUUCUGGGGCACCCUGUGCAGGGCCAGGAGUUGGGCUCGAUGACCUGAUUCCAACUCAGAAUGUUCUGCGGUUCUGUGAAAGUGUGGAGCUCGGAGGAGGAGCUGAGGUGACAUGCUCUCAGCAGAGCUUGCAUGAGAACUGCGGGAGCCUCCUGAACAUCCUCCUGUUUUCCCUGUGCGUGUCUGGUCGUUUUAUGGUCCCAGAUUAAAGCCUGGGGAGCCGCAGUGCGGUUUGAUGUGUCCUGGGGCGGGAGGAAUGCUGGCCAUGUUUGCCAUGUCUCGUUGCAGGUUGGCAGCUGGAGCAGGGGCCCUCCUGGAGCAGCGGCUGCAGGGACAGGACUGAGAAAGUGUCCAUCCCAGAAGUGUGGAAAGCAACAGGUGGGUGAGGAGUUUUGUGUGAAGUGCUCGCUGCUGUGCUGUGCUGUGCUGUGCUGUGCCCAGAGGAGGAGGAGAAAGAGGAGGAGGGAGGAAGUGUCAGCUCCUGCUUCGUUUCUGCGAACGCGUCACACAGCUGAAGCAGGCAGAGCCCUCGCAGCCAUGUUGGGUAAGGGCAGCAGCAGCCAACUGUGUCCGCCCUUUUUCUGGGCAGGAAGUCCAUGAGAAUCUUAUGAUAGCCAUCAUAGCUGAGGGCAGAAAGAGCCCACUCCAUGGCCAUCUUGGAUAAGGGAAAGGGAGGGGGACUGUCUGUCACAUUUGUCCUCUAAAGAGCUGCUGGCUGUUUCAGGAGAUAAAAUGCAGCUGAGAUAGUUCAUGUGCAUACCUGAAAAACAUCUGGAUUUUGGCUUGAGUGUGUUGAAUUACUUAAUGACUUGAUGAAAAUUGAGUUCUUUUGCUGAAGAAAGCCUAUCAUGAAUUCUGAGCUAACUGUAACUGGCUCAGAAAGAAAAACAUUGAGCAGCAUUAUAGCCAACUCAGUGCUAGUUUUCUGACUACUGUGCAAUGAUGAUCUAAAAGGCUUCCAAAAUAAUUCAUAUCUAUCAACUGAGUUUUCAGUGCAGAGGUAUGAACCAGUUGCUUAGUGGAAGAUGCUGAUUCCAGAGAAAUUGUUACAUUUGAAAUAACUGAGGCAUGUUGUAUAGCAAAAGUUCAGUUUCUAGUGUAAAAAAUAAGAUGCAAACUGAUAAUGAAAGCAGAAUAAACAGGCAAGGAGAAAGUUGGAGAUACUGUUUUCUACUGAGUUCUCAUCCCUGAAACUCAUUCAUCAACAAUUUAUCCAAUCAGUUUUGUACUGAUUUUCAGAAAUGCAACAAAUUCCAUGCAUAAUUGCCAUACCACAUUUAAAAUAUGACAGUCUAAGAAGGCAUUUACUGCUAUAUAGAGCAGUGUGGAAAUGUAAAGCACCAUUUGAACUGUUGCUUACACCCUUAUGUAUCUUUUGCAAAACAAACUUACCUCAGAAGUAGCUUCUAAAACAUUCUGAAUCAAGUUGUCAAAAAGUUAGGAAUGCUUUCAGAGAAGUUUUCUGCAGUGUUAAAAAAAUUGAUUCUAAUUAUCACCCCAGAUUUAGUGAAGGGGUUACACUUUUUUAUUUUAGUGCUAUUAUUGUUCUUUAGUUUCAGACUUCUUUUCUGUUUGGGAUCUUUUAACUCUCUGACUGGUUAUGUAAAGAACAAUUGCAUUAUCUUUCAGCAUUAAUUUUAAAAGAAUAAACAACUCUACCAGUUUAAUUUUCUCUUGUCAGGUAGGUUCUCCAUUUAUUCCAUUUUCUUUCAGGUCUUUCCCUGCUCCUAUUUCUGGUUUGCAUUAAAAAAAAAAAUACUUGUAUCCAGUGUACAAAUUAGUGUCUUACCAAUGUAACAUUUACAUUAAUGUAAUGUAUGUAGUAAGCAUAUAUUGAAUGUACUGUUCCAUUUACAUUAUGUAAUAAAUAUGAAUAGUUUAUACAAUUAUUUAAAACAUAUUAUUUAUAUGCUGUAUAUCCUAUUUGUUUAUAUAUACAAUAUACAUUGCAUAGCAUGUUGAUAAUACAUGUAUUUGGUAUAUAUACAUAAGUAUAAUGUAACAUGCAUACCAUUAAUACAUGUUAUACUAAUGUAUAGCUAAUUUUACAUGCAAUGUUUUUUCAUUUCAAAUUAAAUCAGGCAAGUUGAAAUAACUGGCAUUUUCACUGCUUUGUCAUUUUAGCCAGUCCUUCUUUGCUUUUCCAUUAAUAUAUCAAUUUAACAGUCAAUAUUAGUAUUGACUUUUUGAAAUGUUUGAUGUUUUCUGUGUCUGUUUGAAAAAUGGAAAAGAUGCUUUAACAAUAAUUAUGACAUUUUGUGUGUGUGUUUAUUUUUUUUUAACAGAAUAAAUUUAUUAGACCAAAUAUAAUUUUCAAAUACAAAUAAAAUACUGCUUUAAACUGAAAUCACAAGGCGGGGGAUGGAGGGGAGGAUGAGAUGAGCAGAUGAUGUUUAUGCACUUCUUUGGUGUUACUCUGUGGAUGUGAGCAGUCUGCACAGUCACUCCCUGCUGAAGCUGAUGGAACCUGGCCAGCAAGCAGCCAACACAACAUUUGCUGCUACCUGAUAGAAACCAUCCUGCUGAGAGAUGCAGGAGAGAGCCAUGGAGAUCACAGCUGUAGGAGCAAGAUAGAGAUGGAAUAAAGCAAGGCAGGCUCAAAUAAUGAGCAGUUGUGGAUCUUUAGAACCCAGCUGUCCCACAUAGGCAUUUUCUUAUUUUUAUUCCAGCAACUGACAUCACAGGGCAUGCUUUUUCUAGAAGUCUUUUUUGUCUAAACUCUUCCAGAUAUUAACAGAUGGCUGUAUUUCUGCAAAACAAGGCAGAGUUCCUGGAGAUUUGUAAGGGCACAUUCCAUAUUCAGAGCCUUAGUGUUUUAUGAAGCUUUAUUUCAAGUUGUAGAAAAAUGCUUUCAGUUAGUAGGUUCCCAGCUCUGAAGUCUGUCUUUUGUCCUGCAUUGAUACUUCUUGAAGAAGAAAGCAGUCUCAGAUGUUUCUAAAUGUUACAAUACAUGCAGAGAUAUUUUUCUUUCUCAACUGAAGAAUAUAAUUACAUUUUAUCAAAACUAAAAUGUAUUUAAAACGGCUAGGUGAAAAUAUUUCUGAAGCAGUUUCCCUAGUUAUUUGGAAUAUAUCCAGUAGGUAAGAAUCCUUUCUUCUGUACUUUUUUUUAUCAGCGAUUGUGUGUCUAUUCUCUUCCCUUUCUCCUGCCAAAAGAUUAUUUGUUGAGCAUCCACUGGCAUUAAUUUACUGUUUAAUAAAAUGAGCAGAGCAUAUCACUCUUACUAAGCACUUUAUUCUUACUAUUUUACAUAGACACACAUAUACUUUUUAUUCACAUGAAAACUUAAAAAUAGGGACCAGCAAAAGGACUUUACUGUUUAAUAAAAUGAGCAGAGCAUAUCACUCUUACUAAGCACUUUAUUCUUACUAUUUUACAUAGACACACAUAUACUUUUUAUUCACAUGAAAACUUAAAAAUAGGGACCAGCAAAUGUGUGAUGCAAAUAGCUAAAAAUUUUGAUUUGCCCAUGACAGCAAGAAUACAGACAAGGGAAGGCUUAUAAGAAGCAGUGACAUGAAAUCUUUUCUUAAACCAAGUGGUAAAAGCUUUUGGCCCCGCCAUUUCAGUUCUUAAAUGGAAACAGCAAAUCAAAGUCUACUGAGACUCUUUGUGCUGAGUUGAACUUGAUUAAGCUCAGUCUUAGUCAUGUCUUUUUUUGGAGAGUAAUCUUUUACAGAAUUCAGGAGUUAACUACUUGAAAAAUCUGUGAGUCUUGCAUGGUGUCACUGUAAAAUACCUGAAGCAGCUGGAGACAGCAAGAACCUUCCCAUAGAGCCCUGCCCAAGGCUGCACACUGCAGAGCCCCAUUCCUAUCUCAGUUUGUAUCUAACAUUUACUUUGUUUCUAAUGGUUUAUGAUUACUGAAGGCCGCUGUAUCUCAAAUUAUUACCAUGAUAAUUUUGUGUGUUAUAAUUUUGUCUGAGUUAUGCUUGUUCAUCUUUUGUCUAGAAAAUUACUCCAAUGAUCAAAGCAUACUUUAAUUUCUUGCAGUUUGUUUUUGAUAGAUAAACAAAUGUUGUUAAUGGCCCUUAAGGAAACAGUGCAUCUAAGGAGUCAUACAUUUUCUUUUAAGUAUAUAUGGGUGGAUUAUCUUGGUUUUAAUAUUUGCAACUCCUGUUCUGCAGAAAAAAAUAGCAUGCAGUGAUUCAGGUAGCAGCCCAUCUAUACCUACUGCUGCUGAAACUGUUCUAGUAGUAGUCAACCAAACGUCUGGUGUGAAUAAGUAAAUUAAAACAGGUCCGAAGUUUGAGGGGGGUGCAUCCAUGAUACUUUGUUUUUAUUUUUUCUUUUUUUUUUUUUUUGUUAAAUUAAGUAGCUAUUUAGCGCUUUUAACUCUACAAAAUGUUUCAUAAUGAACUAUAAAUAGCUGUUGGACUGUGCUAAAAGAAUAUUUGAAAGCUCUUCCAUUAUUAAAGAGCUUGGGCUUUGGCUAAGGCACUAAAAGAGGGUUUAAGAGAUUUGGAUGCUUUUUUUAUUAUCCCAGUUUCCUGUGAGGGUGAAGCUGUCCAGCCAUCAGCCAGAGGGGUUUUUCCGUCUCCCUCCUGUGCCGUGCUCAGCGGUGCAUAGGACACGACGGAGACGCGCCCGGCAAUUACUCGGCGGCCGCCUCGUCCCCCAGCAGGUGCUGUCACUGACCUGUAAAGAGGAAAAGAAAGCCGAGUGAUCCGCUGCCUGCAGAGCCGCCCUGGCGAGCGCCCCGCUAAGCACCGCUGGGGCGGGCUCCCGGGCCGGGUGCGGUGUGUGCGGCCCCGGCAGAGGAGCCGCUGUCCCGGCCCGCCCGGCUCCGCCCGCCCGGUGCCCGUCUGGAGGGACCGGGCCGGGCCGGGCCGACCGCACCGCAGCGCAGCCCUUCCCCGGCGGCCCCCCCCCCCCCCCCCCCCCCC
ensembl:lncRNA